UAAAAUCUAUUGUAUGUAAUUAACACUAGACAAUACCAUGUUUGAUGGAAAUGUUUUUUCAAACAUUCUGUAAAGUAUCAAAUAUUAAUCGUACUUUUUCGAUCCAUUUUCGAUUUCCUCCCUGGCAACGAUCGGACGACAUGAUGCCAAACGUGGAACAUCCCCGAAUGAAUGGAAAAAAAUUAUUCAGUCAAAUGACAUCUAAGACUUUGCUCCUGCAUGCCGUCAGAAAGAAUCAUGCCACACAUGCAUCCACUGAUGAACAGAUUCUAAAGCAUGCCAUUAGGUGGUUCAACCUGGCAGCAAACCGGGGUAGCUCCAGGAGGCGUGCUACUGUCGACAUCCCCCACACUGAACAGAAUUAAAAAUAUAUAUUUAUAUUUUUAUAUAUAAUAUAUUUUUAUAUAUAUAUACACACACACCAGUUCUCAGUUGGAAGUUCCACCAUUCACUUGAGGUCACUGCGACCCAUUCUCUGGGAGAAUUGUGGUAUUUGGGUUAGGUGGUCGGUAUUUAUGGUUGUAUUAGUUGUAGCUCUUGUGUUCUAAUGUGAGCUAUAGUUUUUACUCUAUAUGUAUGUGUGUAUAUAUUGUCUCGAACUAAUUAUAAAUAAAUAUGAUUCAUACAUGUACAAGAAAUAAUUUGAUGUCCUUUUAAUAAACUGUUUUUGAUAUUA